AACGAACGCUGGCGGCGUGCCUAAUACAUGCAAGUCGAACGGUCUUUUCUAUGGAAGCUUGCUUCCACUGAGAAGAUAGUGGCGAACGGGUGAGUAACACGUGGGUAACCUGCCCAUGAGAGGGGGAUAACAUCCGGAAACGGGUGCUAAUACCGCAUAGGUUUCUUGAGCGCAUGAUCGAGAAAGGAAAGACGGCCGUUGUUGUUUCGCUUAUGGAUGGACCCGCGGCGUAUUAGUUAGUUGGGGAGGUAACGGCUCACCAAGACGAUGAUACGUAGCCGACCUGAGAGGGUGAUCGGCAACAUUGGGACUGAGACACGGCCCAAACUCCUACGGGAGGCAGCAGUAGGGAAUCUUCCGCAAUGGACGAAAGUCUGACGGAGCAACGCCGCGUGAGUGAAGAAGGUUUUCGGAUCGUAAAACUCUGUUGUCAGAGAAGAACAAGUCGGAGAGUAACUGCUCCGGCCUUGACGGUAUCUGACCAGAAAGCCACGGCUAACUACGUGCCAGCAGCCGCCGCCGUAA
rnacentral:rRNA from 1 species